rnacentral:rRNA from 1 species
CUUUUUCUUCGAUAAGAACUCUAAGAAAAAAUUACGCUGUUAUCCCUAAGGUAAUUUUAUCUUUUAAUCUUUAAAAAAGGAUCAAAAAAUCAUUUAUCUAUGAAUUUUAAAUUAAAAAAAAGUUACUUAAAUUUUUUGAUCACCCCAAUCAAAUACUUAAUUUAAAAAUAAGAAAGUUACCCCCAAAUUUUAUUUUUAAAAUUAAGUAUAAAACUCUAUAGGGUCUUCUCGUCUUUUAUAAACAUUUAAGCUUUUUAACUUAAAAAUAAAAUUCAAAACUUUUAAAUUGAGACAGUAAUUUUCUCAUCAAACCUUUCAUUCCAGCUUUCAAUUAAAAAACUAAUGAUUAUGCUACCUUAGCACGGUCAAAAUACCGCGGCCGUUAAA